rnacentral:rRNA from 1 species
GACGAACGCUGGCGGCGUGCUUAACACAUGCAAGUCGAACGGAAAGACCCUACUUUUGUGGGCUUCUCGAUUGCCGAACGGGGGAGUAACACGUGAGUACCCUGCCCUUGUCUUUGGGGUAACUUCAGGAAACUGGGGCUAAUACCAGAUAGGAGCUCCUGCUGCGUGGUGGGCGUUGGAAAUUUUCGGCUUUUGGGGAUGGACUUGCGGCUUAUGAGCUUGUUGGUGGGGUAGUUACCUACCCAGGCGUUGACGGGUACCCGGACUGAGAGGGUGACCGGCCACACGGGAGCGGGACCACGCACCAGACUCCUGCGGGAGGCAGCAGUGGGGAACGUGGGACAAUGGGGGAAAGCCUGACGCAGCGAGCCCGCGUGGGUGACGAAGGCGUUGGGGUCGUAAAGCCCGUUUGUGGGGAAAAAACAGCUGGAGAUUGAUACGUAGCGGUUGUGACGGUACCCAAUAAAGAAGCACCGGCUAACUACGUG